rnacentral:rRNA from 1 species
AUUGAACGCCGGCGGCAGGCUUAACACAUGCAAGUCGAGCGGAGAGAAGUAGCUUGCUACUGAUCUUAGCGGCGGACGGGUGAGUAAUGCUUAGGAAUCUGCCUAUUAGUGGGGGACAACAUUUCGAAAGGAAUGCUAAUACCGCAUACGUCCUACGGGAGAAAGCAGGGGAUCUUCGGACCUUGCGCUAAUAGAUGAGCCUAAGUCGGAUUAGCUAGUUGGUGGGGUAAAGGCCUACCAAGGCGACGAUCUGUAGCGGGUCUGAGAGGAUGAUCCGCCACACUGGGACUGAGGCACGGCCCAGACUCCUACGGGAGGCAGCAGGGGGGAAUAUUGGACAAUGGGCGGAAGCCUGAUCCAGCCAUGCCGCGUGUGUGAAGAAGGCCUUAUGGUUGUAAAGCACUUUAAGCGAGGAGGAGGCUACUUUAGUUAAUACCUAGAGAUAGUGGACGUUACUCGCAGAAUAAGCACCGGCUAACUCUGUGCCAGCAGCCGCCGUAACAC